rnacentral:rRNA from 1 species
AUUGAACGCUGGCGGCAUGCCUUACACAUGCAAGUCGAACGGUAACAGCUCUUCGGAUGCUGACGAGUGGAGUACGGGUGAGUAAUACAUCGGUACGUGCCCAGACGUGGGGGGUAACGAGGCGAAAGCUUUACUAAUACCUCCUACGAUCUAAGGAUGAGAGCAGGGGACCGCAAGGCCUUGCGCGGUUAGUUCGGCCAAUGGCAGAUUAGGUAGUGGGUGGGAUAAAAGCUUACCAAGCCGACGAAUGCGACCGGUUCUGAGAGAACGACCAGCCACACUGGGACUGAGACACGGCCCAGACUCCUACGGGAGGCCGCAGUGGGGAAUUUUGGGCAAUGAGCGAAAGCCUGAUCCAGCAAUGCCGCGUGCAGGAUGAAGGCCUUCGGGUGGGAAAAUGCUGUGGGACGGAGCGAAAAGGCUUUGGCUAAUACCUGGGGCACAUGACGGUACCGUAAGAAGAAGCACCGGCUAACUACGUG